rnacentral:rRNA from 1 species
AUUGAACGCUGGCGGCAGGCUUAACACAUGCAAGUCGAGCGAGCGGCGGACGGGUGAGUAAUGUCUGGGGAACUGCCCGAUAGAGGGGGAUAACUACUGGAAACGGUAGCUAAUACCGCAUACUAUCGGAUGUGCCCAUAUGGGAUUAGCUAGUAGGUUGGGUAAUGGCUCACCUAGGCGACGAUCUCUAGCUGGUCUGAGAGGAUGACCAGCCACACUGGUACUGAGACACGGCCCAGACUCCUACGGGAGGCAGCAGUGGGGAAUAUUGCACAAUGGGCGCAAGCCUGAUGCAGCCAUGCCGCGUGUAUGAAGAAGGCCUUCGGGUUGUAAAGUACUUUCAGCGGGGAGGCGUUACCCGCAGAAGAAGCACCGGCUAACUACGUGCCAGCCGCCGCGGUAAUAC